UACGUAGGUGGCAAGCGUUGUCCGGAAUUAUUGGGCGUAAAGCGCGCGCAGGUGGUUUCUUAAGUCUGAUGUGAAAGCCCACGGCUCAACCGUGGAGGGUCAUUGGAAACUGGGGAACUUGAGUGCAGGAGAGAAGAGUGGAAUUCCACGUGUAGCGGUGAAAUGCGUAGAGAUGUGGAGGAACACCAGUGGCGAAGGCGGUUCUCUGGGACGGUACUGACGCUGAGGAGCGAAAGCCAGGGGAGCAAACGGG
rnacentral:rRNA from 1 species